CCUACGGGUGGCUGCAGUCGAGGAUCUUCGGCAAUGGGCGCAAGCCUGACCGAGCGACGCCGCGUGUGCGAUGAAGGCCUUCGGGUUGUAAAGCACUGUCGAGGGGGAGGAAAGCCGCAAGGUCUGACCUAUCCCUGGAGGAAGCACGGGCUAAGUUCGUGCCAGCAGCCGCGGUAAGACGAACCGUGCGAACGUUGUUCGGAAUCACUGGGCUUAAAGGGCGCGUAGGCGGAUCAGCAAGUCUGGGUUGAAAUCCUCCGGCUUAACCGGAGAACAGGCUUGGAUACUGCUGAUCUCGAGGGAGGCAGGGGCAGUUGGAACUUCCGGUGGAGCGGUGAAAUGCGUUGAUAUCGGAAGGAACGCCGGUGGCGAAAGCGAACUGCUGGACCUCUACUGACGCUGAGGCGCGAAAGCCAGGGGAGCAAACGGGAUUAGAUACCCGUGUAGUC
rnacentral:rRNA from 1 species